rnacentral:rRNA from 1 species
GUAGAAGGAGCCGACGAGUAAUUUGGCGUGGCGAGGCUAAGGCAGCGACAGCCGGAGCCGGAGGGAAACCGGGUCCGAAAGGGCGGCCAGUCGCGUCCAAUUGACCCGAAACCGGGUGAGCUACCCAUGGGCAGGGUGAAGCGCGCGGAACACGCGCGUGGAGGCCCGAACCCGUGUCCAUUGCAAAGGGCAGGGAUGACCUGUGGGUAGGGGUGAAAUGCCAAGCGAACCCGGAGAUAGCUGGUUCUCCCCGAAAUGCAUUUAGGUGCAGCCCCGGGAAGUAAGAGUGCCACGGAGGUAGCGUAUCGGAUCGGCGCGGGGGCUUGCCGCUUACCAACCCGAACCAAACGACGAAUGCCGUGGUGUGUACCCGGGAGUGAGACUGUGGGAGCGAAGUUCCAUAGUCGAGAGGGAAACAGCCCAGACCGCCGGCUAAGGUCCCAAAGUCCGAACUGAGUGGGCAAGGCGGUCGCGGUGCCCAGACAACCAGGAGGUUGGCUUAGAAGCAGCCAUCCUUGAAAGAGUGCGUAAUAGCUCACUGGUCGAUGGUGCCGCGGCACCGACAAUCCACCGGGGCUAAGUUCGGCACCGAAGCCGCGGAUGCAACCGCAUGGUUGCAUGGUAGGGGAGCGUCCCGUUCGCCGGUGAAGGGAAGGGGGAACCCGACCUGGAGGGAACGGGAGUGCGAAUGUCGGCACGAGUAGCGCGAGAGAAGUGUGAAUCUUCUCCACCGAAUGCCCCAGGGUUCCGCAGCCAUGCUGAUCAACUGCGGGUGAGGCGGGCCUAAGCCGAGGCCGGAAGGCGUAGGUGAUGGACAACCGGUUAGUAUUCCGGUCCCGCUGUCAGGCCGUUAUGAGCAAUGGGGGGACGCAGAGGGAUAGGUCCAGGGUCGCAAGGCCUCCAAACCGGUAGGGAGCCCGGAUAGGCAAAUCCGUUCGGGCGAUGACUGAGAGGUGAUGGGAAGGCGCGGGGUUCGCCCCAAGCCGCAUGGAUUGAGUCCGUACUGCCGAGAAAAGCCUCUAGCCAGGACUGGCAGCGCCCGUACCGAAAACCGACACAGGUGGGCUGGUAGAGCAUACCAAGGUGGACGGGAGAACCUCCGUCAAGGAACUCGGCAAAUUAGUCCCGUAACUUCGGGAGAAGGGACGCCCCGGUAGCGUGAACGGACUAGCUCCAGGAGCGUGAGGGGGCCGCAGCGAGCAGGCCCAGGCGACUGUUUACCAAAAACACCGGUCCCUGUCAACACGAAUUCGUGUGGAUGUAUAGGGGCUGAGACCUGCCCAGUGCCGGAAGGUUAAGGGGCGGGGUUCACGCUCCAAACCGAAGCCCCGGUAAACGGCGGCCGUAACUAUAACGGUCCUAAGGUAGCGAAAUUCCUUGUCGGGUAAGUUCCGACCCGCACGAAAGGUAGAACGAUCUGGGCACUGUCCCGACGGGGGACCCGGCGAAACUGAAAGACCGGUGAAGAUACCGGUGACAUGUGGCAGGACAAAAAGACCCCGUGGAGCUUUACUCCAACUUGCCGUUG